CUCCACCAGACCAUUUCAGCGGGGAGAGGGAGGUGCCCUCCAGGCCACGCAGCAAGAUGGGUUCUGUGGGCAGAGAUACCAUCCCCAGCCUCUCUGCUCUGGUUCCUGUUUCCAGCCUCAGAGCACAGAGUUCAGCUUGUGGUUCCUGGGUCCUGUGAGGGUCCGCAGGAGGCCUCUGUGGGCACUGGCACCUUCCGCUUCCACUGCCCAGCCUGCUGGGAGCAGGAGCUGAGUAUUCACCUACAGGAUGCCCCUGAGGAGCAACUAAAGGUGCCACUGAGUGCCCUGCCCUCUGGUCAAGUGGAGCCCCUGAUGAGAGUGGAGCUGAAAAAAGAAGCAGGGUGAGAGGCCUGGCUGGGGACUGGGCAAGGCCCUGGAAAACAACCAGGGCGCGGGGCUGGAGGAGGCCUGGAGGAGUGAGGGGGAGAAACAGCCGCCCCUCAUCCUCAUGCUCUCUGAAGGGGCUCAGGCUUGCGCUCGGGGGGGCACGAAGUACCGGGAGGAGUCUUAGCACCUAUGGUCAGAGGGGUGAGUGACCGGCCCAGUGCCAGGCACCCGGGGAGCACUUGAUAAAUGUUUGGCUGGAAAACGCAGGGAGGCGAGGCUGGAAAAUGGUAACAUGGUUUGGGGCGCAGAGAGGGCAGGAAAACCAAGGGAGAGAAGAGGGGAAAUUGCACCCUUUUGGGUGGAAGCUGUUAUGGCUGGACCUUAAAUGAUGUUCGUAGAGUUGUCGCCCACCCUGGCCCUCUGUCUUGAGAGAGUGGCUUCUCAC
rnacentral:lncRNA from 1 species